CCUACGGGAGGCAGCAGUGAGGAAUAUUGGUCAAUGGCCGCAGGGCUGAACCAGCCAAGUCGCGUGAGGGAUGACGGUCCUAUGGAUUGUAAACCUCUUUUGUCAGGGAGCAAAGGGCGCCACGUGUGGCGUUUUGCGAGUACCUGAAGAAAAAGCAUCGGCUAACUCCGUGCCAGCAGCCGCGGUAAUACGGAGGAUGCGAGCGUUAUCCGGAUUUAUUGGGUUUAAAGGGUGCGGAGGCGGAAUGUCAAGUCAGCGGUAAAAUUUCGGGGCUCAACCCCGUCGUGCCGUUGAAACUGGCGGUCUUGAGUGGGCGAGAGGUAUGCGGAAUGCGUGGUGUAGCGGUGAAAUGCAUAGAUAUCGCGCAGAACUCCGAUUGCGAAGGCAGCAUACCGGCGCCCGACUGACGCUGAGGCACGAAAGCGUGGGGAUCGAACAGGAUUAGAUACCCUGGUAGUC
rnacentral:rRNA from 1 species